GUUUGCAUGAGACCAAAUUUAGGCCCAUUUCUCCUUCCUUUUCACGGCAGCCACAAGGCUUCCCUACUGCCCAUAUUCCACCUAAGUAACCCCCCAUAUUCACCUUUAUUAAUCCUAAUAAAACCUAUUAAUUUGUUGCCCAAAAACCCUUUCACUUCCCCUUCUCCAUCCACGUACAAUGAAGGCCGAAAACACAUCAAUUUUGUCCAUCAAAAGAUGCAGCAACCCGCCUCUCUUCUCCCCAUCUUUUUCGUGAGUUUCAAAGGAAAAUUAAAGGGGAAUUCAAAGCCUAAUUUUCUGAUUAAACCCACCCCAAUUCGUGCUCAAAUUCCUCCUCUUUCGAACUGUCAGAACCGAAGAACUUUGAGGGUUUUCAAGAGGGCUGCUUGGGUGGGUGUUUGUGCGUAUUGUUGCUGCUGUUUGUGCUUGGUGUUGCUGUCCUUAUCUUCUAGUUUUGGUGGCCUAUACAUCAAGGUUUUAUUUGUUUAUUUGAUCUAUGUGACGAUGGGUUGGGAAUUGAGAGUUUAGAAACCAACUUUUGGGCUUGUAUGCCUUGUUGUUAGUUGUUUGUUUAAGUGCUUUGAAUUUGGUUUAGUUUGAUUUCAGUUUGGCCGAUAAGGGUUGUUCUGCUCUUGGCUUUUGAAUGUAAUUGAUUUGCCUAUGUUUAAGUUCAUUUGUUAUUGUCUUUUUCUUCA